UGUGCCUCAUACAUGCAAGUCGAACGAUAAGGUCUCUUCGGAGAUACAUAAGUGGCGGACGGGUGAGUAAUAUGUAGGAAAUCUGCCCUAGAGAGGGGGACAACAGAGGGAAACUUCUGCUAAUACCCCAUACGAGCUUGGUUGAAAUACCAAUCUUGAAAACUCCGGUGCUCUAGGAUGAGCCUGCAUCUGAUUAGCUAGUUGGUGGUGUAAUGGACCACAAAGGCGACGAUCAGUAGCUGGUUUGAGAGGAUGAUCAGCCACAAUGGGACUGAGACACGGCCCAUACUCCUACGGGAGGCAGCAGUAGGGAAUUUUGCGCAAUGGGGGAAACCCUUGACGCAGCAACACCGCGUGAAUGUUAAGCCCUUCGGGGUAUAAAGUUCUGUCAAUGGGGAAGAAUUAAUGACUGUACCCAUAAAGGAAGCACCGGCUAACUCCGUGCCAGCCGCCGC
rnacentral:rRNA from 1 species